rnacentral:tRNA from 1 species
GCUCUCUUGGUGAAAUUGGUAGACACACAACACUUAGAAUGUUGUACUUUUAUAGUGUAAGAGUUCGAGUCUCUUAGGGAGUA